rnacentral:rRNA from 1 species
UACGAAGGGGGCUAGCGUUGCUCGGAAUCACUGGGCGUAAAGGGCGCGUAGGCGGCUUUGUAAGUCGGGGGUGAAAUCCCGGGGCUCAACCUCGGAAUUGCCUUCGAUACUGUCUGUCUUGAGUCCGGGAGAGGUGAGUGGAAUUCCUAGUGUAGAGGUGAAAUUCGUAGAUAUUAGGAAGAACACCAGUGGCGAAGGCGGCUCAGCUGGCCCGGUACUGACGCUCAUGUGCGAAAGCGUGGGAGC